rnacentral:tRNA from 1 species
UUUUAAUUAGUAUAAUUAAUACAGUUUCCUUCCAAGAAAAUACUCUCUUUAGAGAUUACUUA